rnacentral:rRNA from 1 species
UACGGAGGGAGCUAGCGUUGUUCGGAAUUACUGGGCGUAAAGCGCACGUAGGCGGCUUUGUAAGUUAGAGGUGAAAGCCCGGGGCUCAACCCCGGAAUUGCCUUUAAGACUGCAUCGCUUGAAUCCGGGAGAGGUGAGUGGAAUUCCGAGUGUAGAGGUGAAAUUCGUAGAUAUUCGGAAGAACACCAGUGGCGAAGGCGGCUCACCUGGAC